GCCCGCGCGCGGGGUCCGGUGACGUCACCUCGCCGUGACGCGCAGGCUGUAGGAAAACUGACAAAUUAAAAGAAUUUACCAUGUAUCUUAUGACUCUUUUCUGGAGCCUUGGGACUUUGAUAAAGAUGAAUGCCAUACUCAACCAAAAGUGAAAAUGUGAAGUCGAGAAGAUGUUUGCUAAGUCAAGCCACUUCACAGAAGUUGUUAUUCAAGUCAAAUACAUCAUAAUGCAGAAUUCCUUAUCAGUACCACCAGAAGAUCAAGGUAAGAUAAACCAUGCUUGGGAAAGUGGUGAUGUGUGUGGUAUAAAGAGUCUAACUGAUACAUUUAAUGUCACUAUCCUCUAACCAUAAGGUGACUUAUUCCUUGGCACUAAGAACAAAAAUUCUAGUUCUAUAUGAAAGUUCAUUUCCUUUGGUAAAUUACUUGAGUGCCUGUGGAUUCCUGGUUUAUAAGAAUAUGUCUCCUUUGUUGAGAGCUUUUUGAGAGUGAGGCCAUCUCAUUGCACACAAAACUCACAGCCCUGCCCGUUAACUGGCGCUAAGAGGUGUCAGAUGAAGUUCCAGAGUAUUGACUUUAAUGAAGCAGAAU
rnacentral:lncRNA from 1 species